GGGAGUGGUUGAACUUAGGGUAUCUCCAACUGAAAAUCCCAUGUUUCACUUCAAAAUGCAGUGAAACUCAAAAAUGUCGUGAUUCAUCCCCAAUGGAACUCCAUUUUGCGGGCUUCUGCAAAGGUAAUCGUCUUUCUCCUCUUUGGAACUUUUCUUCGGCAAAUCCGGUUGAGACAGAAAAAUCGAGUAUGUGAAUUGUGCAACACCAAUAUUGGCGUCGCACUGUUCACCCGCAAGCAAACAGCGGAAGAUUUGGCGUUCGGCUGGAGCGACUGAACGAUGCCAUACGCAUGUUUGGCGUUUGGUUGGAUAUGACCUUAAGGUGAUGAGAUAAAUUCAUCUCUCCGACGCCACCAUUUUUUUUUAUACUGAGGCAGAGAUAUAGGAAAGUUGUGCUGCAUGAUGGGGUUGUUGAGCUUCUACUGAGACACCUUCUAUAGAAAUAUCUCCAAUGAAGAAGGGGAGGGUGAGGCCACUAUAAUCAGCUCCAACAAGCACUAUAGUCGUAAAGGAGGCUACGGAAUUGAGGAGGUUGAUAUUUGAGAAGGCCGUGAAUGAGGCUAAGACUGUUAACAUGAGGGUGAACAUGCUUGUGGUGGCUUUGGUGAUAACUGUAGAAGCUAUCCUCUGAAGUGGCCUGUCAUGAGAGCGAAAGUCGAUAGACCUUCAGAGGUGGUGGCGGGCGCAAUUUCAUCACUUUUGGGUUCUCUUUAUUUUAUAAAUCAAAAGGUUUAUGGAGUUUGAUGCUCCUUAGAGCAAGGGAUUUGCUUUUUUAUUUAGUUUCAAAUAUACCUAAGCUAAUAAGGGAAUGUAUCCUACAAAGGAAGCAGCUUUGGGAUUGUUUGGUCCAGCUUGUAGAAUAGAGGAGGAUCAGGUUGGGAAUGCUGUGAGGAUGGCUUGGACAAAGUUACUAAUGAAGUUGAGAUCAUUAACAAGAAGAAUGUUGAUGAAAGAUGGGAAAAUAUAGGGUGGCUUGAAGGGGACAAUCACAAGAGUUAUGAAUGACAAACUUUGUGAGUAGGCUGGAGGAAUUAUUUGUCUAUAUUGCAUCAUUGAAGAAAGUGAUGACUACUCUUGAAGGUGGUGUUGAGCCCUAGAUGGAAAGAUUGUUGAAAAUAUAUUUCUUUUGAGGUUUUUGAUAUAAUAUAGAUGUUAUGAAUCAUAAAGUUGAAGAUAAGUUGAACUAGUAUAGUAUUCACCCUAUCGAAUAAUGCUAAGGGUGUUCAUCUAAAAGCUCUAAGAAAAAUGAUUCUUUGGAGGUUUUUAAGCAAGUCAAAAGGUUACAAUUUAUUAAAGUAUAGAUCAAGAUGAACUAUUAUAGCGACUGACCUAAUAAAUUGGUUGAAGAAUUCAGGAAGGGAGUUAGUUCAAAGGUUGACAAGUUGAGGAUUGGUCUUCUUGUAGAGAAAGUUGCAUGAGAUUUCAUCGAUGCAUUAAUUUGCAGUGGUUAUGCAGUAGAAAGUAAAUUUUGUUAUGAGGUUAUUCUUGUAUUGUAUUUCUUUUGAAUUUAAUGUAAUGAAGUUUAUAUUUGAAGUUAAAUUUCUUUA